GGACUUAUAGUUCAGUGGUAGAACGUUCGCGCCAACGUUCCGGUACGACCGGGGGACGAGCUUGUCUUGUGGCAGGUUCGUAGCUGGUAGCGAAAGCCGCGUGUUCGAUUCACGCUAAGUCCG